rnacentral:lncRNA from 1 species
AAACAUAAGUCUCCCACGUUUGGGAGCUCCAUCCACCCACGUCUGAGUGAAGUCAUAGGGGGCCGGUAGAGCAUCGCGGGCUCUAAGCAUAACUCCCUUUACCAUUUCUGGCAAAGGUUCACAUUUAUCCCACAAACACCGGAGUACAAAGGGACAGUAUGAAUAAUGAAAUUAGCAUAUAUUGGAAGCACAUGCGGAACAAUGAAAUGUACAUAUGCCUUUCGAGUCAAUACGAUACAAACAUAAUCUUUCACAAUGUAUUCAGAUUUGAAAGGAAACAAAAGCAAGAGCAUACAAGGAUUUCAAGAAACCAUAUAUAGCUCAAUGGAAAUAAAAAAGUUAGAUAAGUUCAAUGUCCAAAGAAAUGAAACUGUAAGAGGCACAUAUCGAAAGCAAAUGCGAAACAAUGGGAUGCAUGUGCCGAAUCAUUACGAUGCAAACAUGAUCUUUAGAUGAUAGCUGCAGAUGUAUAAAUAAAUAAAGGACAAAAGUAUACAAGAAUUUAAGGUAAUAAUGUAAAGCUUAAAUGAAGUAAGAGGUUUUGCCGAAAUCAAUUUCCAAAGAGAAGAAACAAGGAAAGCCGAAAUCGACCAAAGCUCGAUUCUGGCAGAAUUUGAUAGGAACAUUGUAUGAACUAUUUGGAUAACCAAUUAUGCUCCAAUUUAUACAAAAUAGGUGUCAUUAGAAAUCUUUAUCAAUUUAGUUUUAGGCAAAUCAAGGUUAACAAGAAUUGGAAUUUACAACAGGGAGUUACAGAUAAUUUCGUAGCAAAAGGUCUAAAAAUAUUAGCUCUGUUUUACUGAAUCCAUAGGGUCGAUGAAAGCAGAUGUUUCAGUUAGCAAUUGUACUCCAAAAAUUUCAGAUCAGGUAUAUACAGAAAGAAUUUUGAGUCUAGCUUGAAUAAAUACUUUGUAUAAAUCUGAGUUCACAAUAGAAAGUUAUAAGUAGUUAAGCAACAAGAGGUCAGAAAUUUCAGUCCCUGUUUUGUAGAAUUUAUAGGGUUAAUUUAAACAGAAGUCUUAGUAGGCAUUUAAACUCCAAAUCAUUCGAUCUUAGUAUCAAAAUAAAGAUUUUUUUAUCUACUUUCAAAUGGAAUAGGUCUUGUCUAAAUCAGAGUUUAUUACAAAAUGUUAUGGCUGAAACAUUGCAUAAAGGUCAGAUUACCAAAAAAUUACAGAUUCAUAGCUUUAUAUCAAACCGAAAGAAGGUCUGGUUCUCAGUUGAAAUCUUUCAAAUUUUGUAGAAUAAAAAUAGAAACAGAGAUUAAGGUUACUGUGGGAUGGGGUUAGAAUAUUUACCUUAAAAUUAUUUGAAUCCCAAAUGUGAGAAAAUUGAUGAAAAACCUCAAGCUCUUCUUCUUCUUCUUCUUCUUCUUCUUCUUCUUCUUCUUUUCUCAAACUCACGUUGGCUGCAACUCUUCAGGUUUGUUUUCUUUAACCUUUCAUCUAAUUAUUUGGGUUUUGGCUAAUACAAAAGUUGCAAGGUGUCAUGCAUGCAUGAAAGGGGCUAGGUGUCAUCUUUAGAGCAAAGAUAAGUGGCCCCAACCUUAGGUUAGCUAGUGACACAUGUCCACUAUAUAUUUUUUUUUUUAACUUAAAUCUUAAUCUUUUAUAAAUUAUAUCAAACUUCUAAUAUUUACUCUUAAGUCCCUAGCCAUAAACUUUUAAUAUAAUAUAAUUUAAUAUAAAAUAAUUAUUAAAUAAUCCUUAUUUUUACAAACAAACCUUUUACUAAAUUUUUAAAAAUGGGGGAUGUUACACUCUCCCCUCCUUCAAGAAAAAUUUAGUCCUCUAAAUUUAUCAUACCUCAUUCGACGAAAAGAUGAGGAUAAGCUUUCAUCAUUUCUUCCUCAAGUUCCCAAGUUGUUUCCUCUCCAGAAUGAUCUCUCCAGAUCACUUUAACUAGAGGGAUAACCCGAUUCCUCAAGAUCUUUUCUUUUUUUAUCAACAAUCUGAGUGGGCUCUUCCACAUAAGACAAGUCUUUAUCAAUCACCAUCGGCUCAUACUUAAUGAUAUGAGAGGGAUCAGGUAUAUGCUUUCUGAUCAUUGAAACAUAAAAUAUAUCAUGGGUAUGGCACAAUGAUGGUGGCAAGGUAAUCCUGUGCGCAACAUAACCAACCCUCUCAAGAAUCUCAAAAGGUCCAAUAAAUCUUAGGCUUAACUUUCCUUUCUUCCCAAAUCUUACAAUGCCUUUAGAAGGGGAGACCUCAGGAAUACAAAAUCCCUGAUUUGAAACUCAAUAUUUCGUCUUCUAUUAUCAGCAUAACUCUUUUGACGACUCUAAGCAGUCUUUAACCUUUUUCUUAUAAGUUGAAUUUUCUCAGUAGUUUCUUGUACUUUUUCUAGUGCUAAUAAUUUUCUAUUGCCAAUUUCUUCCCAACAUAUAGGCGUCCUGCACUUUCGCUCAAACCUUGUUGGAAUACAUAGAAUCCAUCUCAGAAUUCAUGGCUUCUUGCCACUUCCCGAAGUCUAUACUCAUAAUAGCCUCCUCAUAGGUCUGAGGAUCAAUAUCCUCAACAUCCUCUCCUCUAAUAUGUCUCAUAUAUCUCUCAGGAGGAUGGGAUACUUUGUCAGACCUACGUAAAGUUGAAAUUUGUGUAUUAGCUACCUGAAUAGACUCGGGGUUGUCACGCCCCUCAAAAUAUCCACGAUAUUUAAAAUUUUCCUCACAAACCAAUCCAGGAUCCAAACUAACAUUUGAGGACACUAAAAAAAAUUCUAUCAAAUUCACAUAAAACCUGUGCAGUUUAUAAUCAUAUAUCACAUCACUCAAUAAUUCACAUUUAUGGCAACACAAGCCAACUUAACAAACAUGAACAACAAUUAUAAAUCCACAAGCUAUGUAAUUUAUACAAUCAUAACUCCAACCAUUUACCACAAGUUCAUAUCAUCAUAAACUAGACUUAACAUUACGAAAUUCCAAAUAAGAAAGAUCUUCUAACACUUUUACAUAGUAUAUCCAUUUCGAUUCAUCGACAACAUUUCAGUACAUACAAAAUAUGCUUAUACAACAAUAACAUAAUAACCAACAAGACUUGCCCAUAAUUCUGAAUAGCUCUCCACUACCUCAGCCCAAUUCAAAACAUCUCAAAGAGUGAUAACUUGACCUGAAAGAUUUAUAUAACAACGAAGUGAGCUAAAAACAGCUUAGCAAGUGACAAAGCAUAUUCAGAACAAAAGGAACGGUUUCAAACAAGUAAGAUAUCAUAAUGCAAGGUAGAAUACAAGAUUUCUCAAGGAUACCAUCUCAUUAGAUACAAAAUCAUAGGUGUCAUGUCAUUCAAAACAUAUUUGGUUCAUAACAAAUGGAGCACAGAGUAAUUGGAGCAUAUCAAUAACGUACGAGAUGUUCCGGAGCAUAUCAAUGGCAAAUAGGACAUUUCAGAACAUAUCAGGUCAUAGCAAAUGGAACACAGAGUAAUUGAAGCAUAUCAAUAGCGUAUGAAAUGUUCCGGAGUAUAUCAAUGACAUAUGGAACAUUUCGAAGCGUAACAAUAACAGAUUAAACAGAUAGAAUGUGAAGUGGGAUUCCAAACAUAAUAUGGUCCAUCCAUUUCUGAAUGACCACCAAACAUAAUCUAGAGCAUAUCAGGCUCUAAGCACAUACCCUUUACCAUUUCUGGCAAAGGUCCAAAUAAUCUCACAAACACCAGAGUACAAAAGGGUAUUGUGAACAAUAAUUUAAGACAGUAGUAGAUGAAGCAUUUCGGAGCAUAUCAAUGGCGUAUGAAAUGUUCCGGAGCAUAUCAAUGACAUGGAACAUUUCGAAGCGUAAUAAUAAUAGAUGAAACAUUUCGGAACAUAUCAAUAACAAAUACCAAACAGAAGCUCAAACGUCGUAGUUAACGUUGCAUUCAUAUCAUUCUUAUCCAAAGCAUGUACAUAAACACAUAACCAAAGCUUUAGAUAUCAUAUCAAACAUACAGAAGGUGUAGUGGGACCACAGACAGAAUGUGAUUCAUUCAUUUCUGAAUGACCACCAAACAGAAGUCUCCCACGUCUGGGAGGUCUCCCACGUCUGGGAGCUCCAUCCACCCACGUCUAGGUGAAGUCAGAGGGGGCCGGCAGAGCAUCGUAGGCUCUAUGCAUAACUCCCUUUACCAUUUCUGGCAAAGGUUCACAAAUCCCACAAACACUAGAGUACAAAAGGAUAGUAUGAACAAUGAAUAGCACAUAUCGGAAGCACACGCGGAACAAUAAAACGUACAUGUGCCUUUACGAUUCAAUACGAAGUAAGCAAUAAUCUUUCACAAUUGUAUUCAGAUUUGAAGGGAAAUGAAAGCAAGAGCAUUCAAGGAUUCCAAGCAAUCACAUAUAACUCAAUUCAAAUAAGAAGGUUAGAUGAAUUCAAUGUCCCAAAGGAAUGAAACUGGAAUAGGCACAUAUCAAAAGCAAAUGCGGAACAAUGGGAUAUACAUGUGCCUAUAUGAGUCAAUAUGAUAUAGCAUAAACGUUGCACAAUAGUUUUCAAGAAUGCAAAUAAUUUUAAGGACAAGAGCAUACAAGAAUUCAAAGCAGUAAUAUAAAGCUCAAUUGAAUAAGAAAGCUAAAGGAUAUCAAUAUCCAAAGGAAUGAAACCAUAAUAUGAGAAAUUGACCAAAGCUCGAUUUUUGGCAGAAUGCAAGAGGCACAUUGAACAAAUGAUUCAAAC